UACAGAGGUCUCAAGCGUUGUUCGGAUUCAUUGGGCGUAAAGGGUGCGUAGGUGGCGCUGUAAGUCGGGUGUGAAAUUUCGGAGCUUAACUCCGAAACUGCAUUCGAUACUGCGGUGCUUGAGGACUGGAGAGGAGACUGGAAUUCAUGGUGUAGCAGUGAAAUGCGCAGAUAUCGGGAGGAACACCUAUGGCGAAGGCAGCUCGCUGGGACGUUACUGACGCUGAGACGCGAAAGCGUGGGGAGCAAACAGG
rnacentral:rRNA from 1 species